rnacentral:pre_miRNA from 1 species
UUAAGUGUAAAAUGGAGUUGGAACGUUUGCCGACGUUUGCCGCUAGGGGCGCUGUUCCAACUGCAUACAAAUUUGAGUUA